rnacentral:rRNA from 1 species
UACGUAGGGUGCAAGCGUUAAUCGGAAUUACUGGGCGUAAAGCGUGCGCAGGCGGCUGUGCAAGACAGGUGUGAAAUCCCCGGGCUUAACCUGGGAACUGCACUUGUGACUGCACAGCUGGAGUACGGCAGAGGGGGAUGGAAUUCCGCGUGUAGCAGUGAAAUGCGUAGAUAUGCGGAGGAACACCGAUGGCGAAGGCAGUCCCCUGGGCCUGUACUGACGCUCAUGCACGAAAGCGUGGGGAGCAAACAGG